GCCCAUUUGGCAGUUUGAAAAUUCAGCAUAAAAAUGCGACACUUUGGCACAGCGAUUUCAGUCUGUAAGCAGAAAUAAAUUGAGAGCAUUUAUAAAACAACCAAGUAAACAAAAUUAAUAAAGCCAACAAAAACGAAUCGGUUUCAAGUUUAAAGCUUUUUCGGCACAGUUUAAGAAAAACAAAAGAAAGGCAAAAUGAAUCAAGUCGCUUUCCUUCUGAUGGUUCUGUGCUUCGCACUCCUCGCCUUUUGUUCUGGACAAGGUGUUACAGAAAAUCCCUACAACCAAAAUUGUCACAGAAAUAUAUUUUGUUUAGUUGAAGAUUUUUGAGAGCCAACACGUUACAGCCCUCCGAUAAACGGUUGACGCAUGAUAGCAUGGAGGCGUUUCGCUCGUUGACUCAGCUUUUCUUAAGCAUUUUCGAAGGCAUUAGAUUGGGUUAGUUUUAACAAUGGUUGUUCCUUAUAAUACAAAAAAAAAAUGAAUUGAUUCCAAUCCUAUGGCCUGGAUUUACAACAUAUUAAUUUAACUAUCUAUA